ACACAUGCAAGUCGAGCGGGGUGAUGUAGCUUGCUACAUUACCUAGCGGCGGACGGGUGAGUAAUGCUUAGGAAUCUGCCUAUUAGUGGGGGACAACAUUCCGAAAGGAAUGCUAAUACCGCAUACGCCCUACGGGGGAAAGCAGGGGAUCUUCGGACCUUGCGCUAAUAGAUGAGCCUAAGUCAGAUUAGCUAGUUGGUGGGGUAAAGGCCUACCAAGGCGACGAUCUGUAGCGGGUCUGAGAGGAUGAUCCGCCACACUGGGACUGAGACACGGCCCAGACUCCUACGGGAGGCAGCAGUGGGGAAUAUUGGACAAUGGGCGAAAGCCUGAUCCAGCCAUGCCGCGUGUGUGAAGAAGGCCUUUUGGUUGUAAAGCACUUUAAGCGAGGAGGAGGCUACUUAGAUUAAUACUCUAGGAUAGUGGACGUUACUCGCAGAAUAAGCACCGGCUAACUCUGUGCCAGCAGCCGCGGUAAUACAGAGGGUGCGAGCGUUAAUCGGAUUUACUGGGCGUAAAGCGUGCGUAGGCGGCUUCUUAAGUCGGAUGUGAAAUCCCUGAGCUUAACUUAGGAAUUGCAUUCGAUACUGGGAAGCUAGAGUAUGGGAGAGGAUGGUAGAAUUCCAGUGUAGCGGUGAAAUGCGUAGAGAUCUGGAGGAAUACCGAUGGCGAAGCAGCCAUCUGGGCCUAAUACUGACGCUGAGUACGAAAGCAUGGGGAGCAAACAGGAUUAGAUACCCUGGUAGUCCAUGCCGUAAACGAUGUCUACUAGCCGUUGGGGCCUUUGAGCUUUAGUGGCGCAGCUACGCGAUAAGUAGAC
rnacentral:rRNA from 1 species